UUAGCAUUGAACAUCCUGUAGCUCCAGUGUGGCAGCUCCCCUGAAUGCAGCACUUCAUGAUUAAAUUAAUAGUUAAAUGUCUGUAAAGGGAUGAGCCUGACUGUGAGCUUCAAACCCCUGCUAGCUCUGCUGUGACGUUCUCCAACUAGCUAAAACUUGUAACCAUAUGUGGGAACCUUUUGUGACCGCAUGCCUUUGCUGACUUCUGCAUGGAAGAUGAGUGCUCUAACCACUACACAAGGCACAUGCUUCCAGGUGGCCGGGUCAGCGAGGUCCACCAGGGCUUUAGCGUUAAGAAGACCAAAGCCGAAGCGGCUGUUGACCAUCAGGCCUGCCCCGUUCCUCUUCCAGCCUGGGUUAUUGGCCAAAGGAUCAAACUCUGAGGUCCAGACCACAAUGUGCUGCAGGUCUCUCCAGGCUCACGUGUUCAAGUCACAGUGAUGGAAGGAGGAAAAGGAGGAGGAGGGAGAGGUUUCAGCACCGCGGACAGCUCACCUCACACCGCAGAUUCUCAUCAGGUGAUGAAACUGAAACCAAACACUGAGGUGUGAGGAGACAUGGGUUACUACUCCACCAGCUGAGGAGGCUACUGCAAAACUACAUAAUAAAAAUAUUGUUCAUUUGUUGUUGUAAUGCAGCUUACUCCAUAAUAGGGUCAGGUAGCCUAAUAAUGGACUCUUUUUGAUAGAUCACCAAAAAAGAAAAAAAAAACACCCAAAGCUCUGAAGACUACCUUGAGUUUCACUUUUAUAACUUGAUAUGGAUCCCAGCUAUAUUUCUAUAAACAUUUGUUAAAAUAAUUUAGAAACAUUGGACCUUCAAACACAUAAAAAAAAACCCCCACAUCACUCUGUGAUCAGGUACAACUGGGUUAAAUCCAUUUAUCAGCUCAAUCAUUAUUUCAUUAAAUUAUUAAUGUAACCUGUGUGUGUUCUUUCCUGUGUGUAACAGCAAUGACUAAUUCUGAAUUACUGUAGCUGUAAUGGCGCCCUGAGCAGAGAAUGAAGUCAGCUACCUCUGUGUGUUGUAAUCUGAGCUUCGCUGUUUUUUUGUUGUGGUAGACAGUCCGGCUGCACAAGCAUAAUAGUGCAUCGAUGUAAUGGCCACUGCUCUGCACUGUGACCAUACUAGUCGCUGUUUUGACUGCCAGAUUCCUAGGAUGGUGAAGGCAUGGCCCACCUUGUUAGCACUGUUCAUGCUGUUAGCACUGUUAGCUACUAGCCGUUAUCCUGCUGUGCUACCUCCAUGUUGAGAGCCAUGUGCAGACAAUCUCCUCUCAGCAUCUGAAUGAUAGAUAUAAUCUCGAUGUCACACAGAGCUCCUUUAAACGGCUUUUCCCCCCACAGUAGACAUUUGGACAACAGCAGGAAAAGCACAGGUGUAAAUAAUAUACUGCACAAUUGCUAAAUUACAUUUGUCUAUUUCAGUUUCAGGGUCCUGGUACUGUGCACGCUGCCUCACUGUCAUGGCUUGCUGGGACAGCCUUAAUGUUAUUAGUGCCAUCUGGGCGUUUCCUACUAUGACUAACUAAAAUGUCUGCUAUUUCAAAGAGUAGCUGUGCAUUGAUUCAGAUGAAUGGUUCUAGUUGCAACUAGCAAUUGAAAUUUGGCCUGACUUGAAAAUGGCAUAAGCCUGUUUUUACACUGUGAGCUACUCACAUUAUCAGAUACUGUUGGCUAUAUCAGAUGGCUGUGACAAUGUGCUCAAAAAUGUGCAAUAUUUGUAGAUGUGAAAUAUAAUUUACACGUGAAAAUGGUACAUAAAAUAUAAAUGUGGCAAACUGCAGAUAAAAAUACAUAACACACUCUGUCAUUUUAUAAUGCAUGUAAGGUGCAGUCCCAAAAAUAUCAAUCUACUGUGUGUAAAAUUGGA